rnacentral:lncRNA from 1 species
ACUAGUGGGAACAAACACAAGAAGCCAAAAGCAAUGUAGAGACAAGGGCAGCAUCCCUGCUACUGUUGUGGCUCUUCAAAGCUGGCUUGCUUUGACACCUGCAUUCCUGUUGUCAAGGAAACAGAAUUCUCUGGAUCCUAGGCAUAUGCAGGAACUUCAGCUUGAGAUAUAUAAUUGAAAAGCAAUGCCUGCCUGAAAUACUGCAUUAGACAAGAAAAACUGCAGUGGCAGAUUUAGAACAGAGAAAAGAAAGCAUAACAUAUUGCUUAUCACAGUCAAGUCAUGCCUUGCAGAUUAGAAACCUGGAGGAGAAUCACGGACCUGGGCCUGGCUCGCCUGAAAGGUGUAGGGUAACUGUAAUUCAGACCACCAAGAAACCGCCCUUGCCAAGAUCUCUUUUCUAGUCUGAAGACCACUUGGGACUGCAGGAAGGCACAUGGGAAUCCUGUUUGCAUCUGAUCUGCUCACUGCAAUAUAACACGUGCAUAAAACAGUGCAACCGUAUUUGUUUUAAUAAGGCCAUUCUGAGCAGCUGUUUAAUGAUCCAUGAUGUUAAAUGAAAACUACAGGUGUUCCAAAUGCAAACCUUAUGGCCCAGGGCCCCCCUUAUUACCGUUCUACAAUUAGCAGCCAACUGCUCUUAGGCUGUGCAAAGAAUUACCACCAUCAUCAUUACAUUAUUUCUUAAUUUCAUUCUCUGCCUAAGUGUCUUCCCCCAAAGGAAAAACCUGCUUGGCAUGGGAAAGCAUAAGAGUGAAAAAAUGAAAAGGGAAGGAGAACACAAAACACUCCCUGUCCAACCACAAGGAGGCCUCAGUGAAGGGGGAAAGAGCCAGCCAAAAGGCUCAGCCCCCUAAGGAAUCUUCCAGAGUGACUUUCUGGCCAAACUUAACAAAGUCUUGCUGAAACUAUUGGUGUUCAUAAGGAUUGCAUUAACCCUUUCUUCUUCAUGAUUCCCUAAGCUUAAUACUGUGCUAAGCCAAAUUGCCAGAAAGCUGCAUAGCUGGAUUCCAUCGCUCUGUCUUGUAGAGGGCUAAUUUUAUGCAAGUAUAAUUUUAACAUCACAACAGUUUUCACUUAAGGUACAUAUAAUAAACUGCAAAGAAGGAAGUCUUCUGUAUCACUUGUGAAAUUGCUGUCUGUAUCAUUAUCCAUUACAUACCUCAAUACCUCUUACAUAAAAAUGCCAGAGACAAAUUUAAUUAGAGCUCGG